GACGUAGGGGGCAAGCGUUGUCCGGAUUCAUUGGGCGUAAAGAGCUCGUAGGCGGCUUGGCAAGUCAGAUGUGAAACCCUCAGGCUUAACCUGGGGCCGCCAUCUGAUACUGCUAUGGCUAGAGUCCGGUAGGGGAUCGUGGAAUUCCUGGAGUAGCGGUGAAAUGCACAGAGCUCAGGAGGAACACCAGUGGCGAAGGCGGCGAUCUGGGCCGGUACUGACGAUGAGGAGCGAAAGAGUGGGGAGCAAACCGG
rnacentral:rRNA from 1 species